ACAGAGGCCUCGAGCGUUGCGCGGAAUCACUGGGCUUAAAGGGUGCGUAGGUGGACAUGCAAGUGCCUUGUGAAAUCCCCGGGCUCAACCCGGGAACUGCUUGGUAGACUGCAUGUCUUGAGGUCGGUAGGGGUCGCUGGAACAGUUGGUGGAGCGGUGAAAUGCGUAGAUAUCAACUGGAACGCCAAAGGCGAAGGCAAGCGACUGGGCCGAUUCUGACACUGAGGCACGAAAGCGUGGGGAGCAAACGGGA
rnacentral:rRNA from 1 species